rnacentral:rRNA from 1 species
UACAUAGGUGGCAAGCGUUGUCCGGAAUAACUGGGCGUAAAGAGAGCGUAGGCGGUGAAUCAAGUUGAUUGUGAAAUCCCGUGGCUUAACCACGGAACUGCAGUCAAAACUGGUCCACUAGAGUUCGGAAGAGGAAGGUGGAAUUCCUAGUGUAGCGGUGGAAUGCGUAGAUAUUAGGAGGAACAUCAGAGGCGAAGGCGGCCUUCUGGGACGAAACUGACGCUGAGGCUCGAAAGUAUGGGGAG